ACACCUUCAUCCCGAAUGCUGUGAGGUUUCUUUCCUCUUGUUUGAAGAUUGUCUCUUCCAACGUUUGCUCCGCUGGAGCCUCCGUCGCCGGUUCUAUCUUCGGCGCUCCCGACGACCUCCACAACUCUACUUCUGGUUAUUUAUCUGUAGGAUUGAAAGACUGAAAGAUACAAGGAAAUUAUCAAAUCUGGAACUGUAAGUAGGAAUUUAUUUGCUCUUCAUUUAUGAUUACUUGUUAGUUCAUCUAUGUGGGUGAUUAUUCUGGAUGAAUGAUUUCCAAGAAAAUGGAUUUGUCUUGUUAAUGGGCAAGUGGAGCCCAGACCUGGAGUUUUGAGAUUGAUGGAUGGGGCCAAGGCUGCUGUAAGAUAGACAUUUUACCUUAUAAAUGCAAUCGUCACUUUGUCAGGGCUCUUAAGUUUUCAUUGUAUUUGCAUCUGUUAUCCACAGUUAAUUAGGAAGACUACUUUUAUUGCCAAUAUUAGUCAAAUUCCAUGUUCCCUUUCUUACAUGAAGAAUCAUAUUUAAAUUAACCUUUUUGGUUGACGAUUAUAGGGUAAAAAAUUAGCAGUAUGCUCUGCUGCAACUAAAAAAGUUAUUUAUCAAUCCUCAAGCUUUUUUUUUUUUUUUUUGGUCUAUCAAAUUUAAAUUUGAUUAAAAAUUGCUCAAAAUCCAUCUCCAACCUUUUCAUACAAUGCUUAUCAAAUCAAGGGAAAAACACUUUCUUCAUCGCAUUGAGUGAAGCAUUUGGAAUAUUCUCUAUAUUGAGUGAAGCAUUACCAAAUUUCAUCAACAACAUGAGCACUAGGCAGGGAAAGUUCUCCUGAACCAGGUGCUUUGGCUUAUGCUCCCAUUUAGGUAUUAUUCUCCUGAACCAGGUGCUAGUGGCAGAAAUAAGGUCAAGAGACAUGUGCAUAUAUUUAGUUCUUAUAAGAAGGUAAAGCUCUUACAACAAGUAAAUAAACAUGUAUUAAGGUAGGCUGAUGUACGCCAUAACUCAUGACAAUGCUAAAUUUGGUAGGUUUAUGAUUUGUUUGACUAGAGUGUUUACAUAUCUUUCAAUGUGUGGUAUUUUAUUUGAGUUUUUUUUAUUUUAUGAAAUGUUUAGCUCAUAUAAGAAGGUAAAGUUCUUGUAAGUGAAUAAACAUGUAUCAAGGUAGGCUGAUGUACACCAUAAAUUGAGUAUUUACAUAUAUUUCAAAUGUGUCAUAUGUGACUUGAGCUUUUAAUUUUCUGAAAGUCGAGCGUUCAUGCUACAUUAGUUCUAGGUGCUUUAACUUUCUAAUAAUUUAAUCUCAUUAUGUGAGUGUAUAAUCUAGGUGUCUAUAUUUAUAUGCCUGUAGGUUAGUGUCAUUGUCUUUCUAAUUUUGGGCCGAGAUAUGACCCUUCAUAGUUCAUGGGGAUGCUCUGAACUUAUAGAUUCUUUAGCUAAAGCUUAUUUGUGGUUCUCAUUUUUCUCUUCCUUUUUGAUUUCAGUAAUUUGUGUUUGUCAUGUGUUCUAGUUUUUGCAACUAACUUCUGCAGCUUGUUGGGUCGUGUGCUGCCAUCUGUUACAUGGCAAUUUGGGUUGGAUACACAGACGUGCACUUAAUCUUUGGUGUUUCUACAACUUUAGAGCAUGUGCAGCUCAACAGGGAGAGCUAAAUAAUCAGUUGAAGCAGUAGCUCGAGAAGAUCUAGG